GUACGUUGACAAGAUCAAGUAUGAAUGGAAAGUAAUAAUGAGAGAAAGGGAGCGGGAAUCAGCUUCUUAUCAGUUCAAUGGAACUAAACUGUUAAAAUAUCUUUUAAUAGCUUAUCUUACAAGACAAGACAAAAA
ensembl:ncRNA H01A20.5 ncRNA